AAAAAAUUAGUUAAAUAAAAUAACAUUAGUAUGUCAAACUGAAAUUAUUACUAUUGUAAUAUUUUUUA
rnacentral:tRNA from 1 species